GCACUAUGGUCAUUUUAUUUCUUUGACUUAUGAAAAGAGAGUGCAAACAUUAAUAUUGGGAGGUGCAUCUAGCAGAAAGUGGUGUUGUCCAUGCAGGGAAGUAGCACCCACGUUGUUGCAUCACGAAAUAAAAUGGAGGUGCAUCCAGCUGAUUCAACUCCACGGCCCAGCAUAAUUACAUACCACGGUCCAGGUGGCUUGAAGAGGUGUGCUUCAAUUGGUAGGGGUGACAUCAAGCAAAAACAAGGUGUCACAAUUUUGGAUGUGCUGAUGGUCUUCACGGAAGCAGAUUCUCAUUUUCUUGGGUGAUUUUGGAUAGAAUUGGAGAGGGGCCCAUGGAAAAAGGAGGAAGGCAUAUGUAGGACACGGAACCCUAGGAGAGAAAAAUGUUUUUUGGAGAGCCGUCACCCACUGUUGAAGAUUGGAUGGAAUUCAUUUCUUGUAGUAGGUGAACGUGCAAUGUAGGUUACAGGAGUUUUCAUUUCUUUUUAUUUGCUUUGGGAAAAUGUUUGUUUUGAUUUCUAUUUGAAUGUGCAAUUCUUCUUUUUAUUCCAGCUAUCACAUAUUAAUUUAGUUUAUACUUUGAAUGUUCAUUGGAGAUUUGAAUGUUAUUUACGCUGAUUGUUGAUGCAUCUUUAUUUAUUUGGAUUUUGAUUCCAACAAGCAUUGUCACAUCAAGAAUCCUACAGUACGUUAGUUUUUUUUUGAAGAGCAAUUUUCACUUUCUUCUAUUUAGAAUUAGCUUUGGUGGUGGCAGAUGUAACUUCUAGGAGAAUUAGCAAUUUUAUUUUCUUGCUUUGCUUUCAUAGAAUUAAUAGCAUUUAUUGUGAAGGAGGGGCCACGGCCAAAUUUCACUUUUAAUGUAAUUGCUUUUUUUUAGUGGUCAUCACGUUAGCUUUAUGUUUUUUUUUUUGUUUUUUUUUUAUUUUAAAUUAGUUUAGAUUUUAGAUAAACUUUAUGUCUUUUUAUUUUCUUUUAUUUUAAAUUAGUUUGAAAUGUAGGUUGAGUUGUUUUUAAUUUCUUUAAUUUAGUUUUGCAUUUAAUUUAAUUUAACUGUGUUUAGAUAUUUGCUUAGUCUAGUAUUUGGUUUAGCAUUUUCACUCUUUGGACUCGAUUUUAAAAAAAUAACUGCAACCACACCAGAGGUCCAAAUGCUACGUUUUAUGUGUCAAAUGAAAGAUAUUUGAGUCUAUUUUCCUGGGAAAAAAACCUCAUCUCAUUUAGAGCUCUGUAGAAAAAGUUAUGGAUAAAACAUUGAGCAAAGGUCAGAGCUGUCAUGUUCCAGCGUGAAUUUUCGUAUUUACUGUAGCAGUUUCGUUUUUACUGUUUUAAUUUCAUUUUCAUGCAUGGUGAAAUGUGUUGUUGCAUUUAAUUUCGUUUUAAUUGAAUUUAAUGAAGUUUUUACAUCUGCGUUUUAAUUUAAUUUCAUUUUAAUUUUUCUGCAUUCACCACGCAAACCUUUC
rnacentral:lncRNA from 1 species